AAGGGCACCACAAGAACGCGUGGAGCAUGUGGCUUAAUUUGACUCAACCCGGGAAAUCUUACCAGGUCCAGACAUAUUGAGGAUUGACAGGCGAUAGUAUAUAAAAUAUAUUUUUAUAUGCAUAAAAAUGAUAGUCCUUUCAUGAUUAUAUGAUAGGUGGUGCAUGGCCGUUCUUAGUUCGUGGAGUGAUUUGUCUGCUUAAUUGCGUUUCAGUAAAUAAAAUAUAUAAUAUAUUAUAAUAUUUAGUUCUGCCAUUUAUUUAUGGAUUUAAAGUGAACAUAUUAUAUAUAUUAUUAUAUAAUAAAUGAAUGCAACGAACGUGACCGUAACCUUUUAUUGCUAUUGAAAAUUAUAAUUAUAGCAUAAAAUUAAAGGAACCGCUGUCAUUACUAAAUAUGUGUUAAAAUAGAGUAAGAUUAUGGCAAUAACAGGUCUGUGAUGCCCUCAGAUGUUCUGGGCUGCACACGUGCUACAAUAAUUACAUUAAUAAGUAUAUAUACUUUAUAAUAUAUAAUAUUAUAUUACAACCUAUUUCGAAAGUAAAUCGGUAAUCAUUUAAAAAUCGUGAUUAAUUAAUAUAAAUAUAAUUAAUUUAAGGUGGGGAUAGUGUAUUGUUAAUUAUUACACUUGGCCUUAACUAGGAAUGCCUUGUACUCUUCUUUGGUUUAACAUACCAAGAGGAAUACGUCCCUGCCCUUUGUACACACCGCCCGUCGCUCUUACCGAUGAAUUAUAUUAUAAAUCUAAGGGAUUUAUUAUAAUUAAAAUAUAAAAAACUUAUAUACAUAAUGUGAUUUAAAGGAAAAAAGUCGAACAAGGCAU
rnacentral:rRNA from 1 species